rnacentral:rRNA from 1 species
CGCCAGACUCCUACGGGAGGCAGCAGUGGGGAAUAUCGCACAAUGGGGGAAACCCUGAUGCAGCGACGCCGCGUGAGUGAAGAAGUAUUUCGGUAUGUAAAGCUCUACCAGCAGGGAAGAAAAUGACGGUACCUGACUAAGAAGCCCCGGCUAACUACGUGCCAGCAGCCGCGGUAAUACGUAGGGGGCAAGCGUUAUCCGGAUUUACUGGGUGUAAAGGGAGCGUAGACGGCAUGGCAAGUCAGAUGUGAAAGCCCGGGGCUCAACCCCGGGACUGCAUUUGAAACUGUCAGGCUGGAGUGCAGGAGAGGUAAGUGGAAUUCCUAGUGUAGCGGUGAAAUGCGUAGAUAUUAGGAGGAACACCAGUGGCGAAGGCGGCUUACUGGACUGUAACUGACGUUGAGGCUCGAAAGCGUGGGGAGCAAACAGGAUUAGAUACCCGAGUA